rnacentral:rRNA from 1 species
GCGCACGCUGGCGGCAGGCUUCACACAUGCAAGUCGAGCGGGCACUUUCGGGUGUCCGCGGCGGACGGGUGAGUAACGCGUGGGAACGUGCCCUCUGGUUCGGAAUAACUCAGGGAAACUUGAGCUAAUACCGGAUACGCCCUUUUGGGGAAAGGCUUGCUGCCGGAGGAUCGGCCCGCGUCUGAUUAGCUAGUUGGUGAGGUAACGGCUCACCAAGGCGACGAUCAGUAGCUGGUCUGAGAGGAUGAUCAGCCACACUGGGACUGAGACACGGCCCAGACUCCUACGGGAGGCAGCAGUGGGGAAUAUUGGACAAUGGGCGCAAGCCUGAUCCAGCCAUGCCGCGUGAGUGAUGAAGGCCUUAGGGUUGUAAAGCUCUUUUAUCCGGGACGAUAAUGACGGUACCGGAGGAAUAAGCCCCGGCUAACUUCGUG